GGGCUGCAUUCAGCAUAACCUAAGUGGUGCGCAGAUCCCAUGUAUCAGAGAGGAUGGAGGGCCUUACAGCCAAAAGCCUCUAUCAGGAAGGUUCCUCCUUACCUCAACAAAACCCUGUGUCAGAUAAAAGUGGGUGAUUCUGAGGGAUGUGCCAAUCAGAAAGUGGAUUCCCUUGAAAUAGAACCUUUCUGGAUAUUUUGCUUCCCACAACAGAAAAAAUCUCCCUGGAUUCUAGGCCCAAAGGCUGGCCACCUUGUGGGUACCAACUUGAUGCAGGCCACCAACGACCACCACCCUUCAUCCUGGGAGCCAGCAUGCCAUGGGACAGAGGACAAUGAGAAGGGCAAAAGAGGCUGACUGGCAUCCAGGGAAAACAUCCAGCUCUCCAGAAGAGGAUGAUGGCAAACAGAGCAACAGCUGGCAAGAACAGACCAAUAAAAAUGUGGUGUUGGGGGAUGAGACAGAAAAAGAUGGAUAUAACAGUCUGUGUUUUCACAAGUUUGGCAGCUGAACCACAUACUUUGGAAAAGAUAAGAAUACAUCCAGGCUUAAAAUGUCUCUCUGGGGAUCUUAUACCUGAUGGAAUGACAGCAAAAAACUCUCCAUCAUGGACUCUUCUGAGCAC